AGAGUUUGAUCCUGGCUCAGAAUGAACGCUGGCGGCGUGCUUAACACAUGCAAGUCGUACGAGAAAUCCUCUGCUUGCAGGGGAGAGUAAAGUGGCGCACGGGUGAGUAUCGCGUGGGUAAUCUACCCUUGAAUUCAGGAUAACAUUUCGAAAGGGGUGCUAAUACUGGAUAACAUCCUGAUGGUUUCGGCCAUAAGGAUCAAAGAUAGCCUCUACAUGUAAACUAUAGUUCAGGGAUGAGCCCGCGUACCAUUAGCUAGUUGGUGGGGUAAGAGCCUACCAAGGCAACGAUGGUUAGCUGGUCUGAGAGGAUGAUCAGCCACAUUGGAACUGAAACACGGUCCAGACUCCUACGGGAGGCAGCAGUGAGGAAUUUUGCGCAAUGGGGGAAACCCUGACGCAGCAACGCCGCGUGAGUGAAGAAGGCUUUCGGGUCGUAAAGCUCUGUCAAGAGGGAAGAAAGUGGGAGAUGGUAAUACUGUUUUCUAUUGACGGUACCUCUGAAGGAAGCACCGGCUAACUCCGUGCCAGCAGCC
rnacentral:rRNA from 1 species